UACAGAGGUCCCAAGCGUUUGUUCGGAUUCAUUGGGCGUAAAGGGUGCGCAGGCGGCGAGGCAAGUCGGACGUGAAAUCUCGGGGCUUAACCCCGAAACUGCGCUCGAUACUGCUUUGCUCGAGGACUGGAGAGGAGACUGGAAUUCCUGGUGUAGCAGUGAAAUGCGUAGAUAUCAGGAGGAACGCCAAUGGCGAAGGCAAGUCUCUGGACAGUUCCUGACGCUCAUGCACGAAGGCCAGGGGAGCAAACGGG
rnacentral:rRNA from 1 species